CAAGUAGAAAGAAAAGGCUGGAGCAAAGAUGAGAAAAGCACCAUAUGCCAAGGGUUUGUAAGGAGAGUAGCAGAUCAGAAACCUUUGACUAGAGAAGAUGUGAAUGGAGACAGAUUCUGAUGAUGCCAUCAUUGGGAGGCAGGAUGACUAUAAGACACUAAUUCCUCAUCCAUAAAGAUUUCUACAAGUGGUUCAUUUGAAAUGAAUACAGAUUUCAUUACAAGACGUGAGUGUGUUCAAAGGAAACAGCCAAUCAAAAUGAACUUAGUGUGCAUGGUGCAACAUCCUGGAUGGUGUGUAGUAUGUUUGUUAACAUGUGAAGCCUACGUGUAUUUCAGGGAGUUGUCUCCCAUGUUUAAGAUCAGUAAUGGCGGAUAUACAGUGCAGUAUGCUGUCUGGUCAUCAACAGAGAGUUUUGACACCCGUAUUUCUACCAAUCACCUCUGUAACCUUUGUUGUGUUCAUCAGAUAGAUUCACCAGAUGCAGCUGCUCCAUCUCCAUCACUGGUGAAAUGGGAAAUGACUAGUGGACGGUCAUCACUUUGUAACUCACCAUUUUGCAGCCCAUCUCUUCUCAUCUUCAGUGGUGGCCUUUGGAGGAAUGGUUGCAGUGCAGUCUUCGUGUCUUAGGCAGUUAACUUCCUUUCCUUUGCUUCUCAGUUUUUAGCUCAACUCAACGAAAUUGGGGAACCUUAUGUGAUACCCUCAGCAUUGGUGUUGGUGUCCCAGGUUAAAGUUUUUGGAGCAGAGUUCUUUUUAACUAUGAAAAUGAAGAACUGGAGAGGAUCUUGAUUGAUUUUUCUUGAAUGAGACACAAGUGCCUUCCAUUUGUGAUACUAAAGGAAGCUGUUACAAAUUUAGUUUGCCACAGUACUGGCCUGACAUAUGAGGACAGGAAUAAAAGAUGUUUUAAAAUAGAAAUGUCUAUAAUUUAACUUAUAAGUAUGAUUAACUAAGAUCACAAACAACAAAUCAGUUGCAUUGCAAAUGUACAUAUAGCAUGUUUGCACUUACGACGGAAUAUUCACUCCCUUUCAGUGAAAGUGUUGGCAUGCAGGUCAAUUAUUGUCACCAAAUCGUCUGUCAUAUUCUCAGCAUGCAGCUGUAGAAUUUGAUCAGAAAGAUUAGCUACACUAUUCUAUGUAUAAGUCUUAUGUAUAAAUCUAAGACAUUUUGGUUUCUAGUCACCAGUCUAUAUUUAUAAUCAUUGUAGUGUAAAAAAAUUCUGGUCCAUAAGUCGAUUGAGACUUUAUGUUUUAGUGAAAUGUUUUGUUUAUUUAUUGCCAACUCGCUGUAAAUCAAAUGUAGUUAAAAAUUUCAGCACUUUCAUUGUGUUUAUGCAAUUUAUUGUUCUUCAAUGUCAGUGACAUGUAUAUCAUUUUAUGAUGCACAAUCAGUAUUAUUGUACCAGAUUUAUACUUGUCUCUUAUUGAUCUGCAUUUU